rnacentral:piRNA from 2 species
UCUCCUACUCUUUCCUAAGGUUGUGAAGUC